GGCGGGGGAAUCGGAGGAGGGGGCGACCUGAUCGCCUUCCCCCCGAGACGCGGCCCCGGCCCGCCCCCUGCUGGAGGAGGCGGAGGUUUCAGGAGGGCCGAGCAGAGCCCCGACGGCCGACCAGGGUCGGCUCCCCGGGCCGAACCCUGGAGACCCCAGCCCGCAGCUCUAGCUCCAGGAGAAGCGACCCAUCUCCGUGGCCCUUCCUCCCGUAAACUCCCACCUCCUCCCCAGGUCCCCGGCUUUAGAAAGAAGACUUGACGCCUGUGACGACUCCCCUCUUAAGCCACAGACAAUAUGAGGACCCCGGGGGUCGGCGCGACCGGGCAGGAUCGCGCCCCGCUUGGGGCUGGACCCUGGUCCACGGAGCCCCGCCCCUAGCCCCGCCCACCACACCUGCCGCCUGCUCGAGGCUUGGACACGCCCGGGUCUUCUCUUGCCCCGCGCUGCGCCACCCGACCUGGGCCCUGGGAUGGGGCAGGGGCGGGGGGUGCUCGGCCCUGCCACACUGUGUGACCUUGGGAAGAUGCUUUUGCUGCUGCCAUUUCACAGACGGGAAAGCGACAACGGCCCGCCUGGACUUGAACACAGGCCCAAGGCCUUCUGACCACUUGCCCGCCUCUGCUGGUCUUGCUGUCUGUCCCCACGGCCUUCACUACUGUGUCCCUGGUGCCUAGAACAGAGCCUGGUACAUAGAAGGUGCUCGAUGAAUGCUUUUCCCUAUCCCAUUUUCAAGAGGAGAAAACUGAGGCGAUUUGCCAAGGGGAGAUCCACGUGGCUGCUUUGACAGAGAGUGUUCUGCAAAAGGGCUUAGAAAUCAGCCAGCAGGUGGCAGGUUCUGGGACUGCAGGAGCCAUUCACAUGCGUGAAGAUCCGCUGGGCGCCCUUGCUCUGGGAUCAGGAAAGGCCGGUGCCAUGGAUGUGAUAGAUGCACACAGGGCAUCAGCAGGCCGCCGAGAGGAACCAGAGUGUCCAACGAACAGAAAACAGUGCUCAACCUUCACAUUUAUCGAAUGUUCCUUGGCACAUGCUGUAAUUCUGGCCCUAAAGACACAUUCAUGGACAAGACAAGCAAUUCCUGUUCUCGUGGAGCUGAAAUUCUCCUGGGGGAAGACAAGCACUAAACAAGAUCAAUGAUUAAAGUAUAGAUUGUAUUAGAUUCUGGUCAGCACUAUGGAGGAAAAUACAGCAGGGGAGCAGAGCAGGAGUUCUGGGAGAUUUGAUUUUUUGUUUUCUGGGGUUUUUUGUUUGUUUGUUUUUUGAGACAGGGUCUCACUGCUGGAGUGCAGUGGCACGAUCUCUGCUCACUGCAGCCUCUGCUUCUUGGGCUCAGGUGAUCCUCCCACCUCAACCUCCCAAGUAGCUGGGACCACAGGGGCAUGCCACCACACCCAGCUGAUUUUUUAAUGUUUUGUAGAGAUCAGGUCUCAUUAUAUUGCCCAAGCUGGGGGAGUUGAUUUUAACUUUAUGUUAGAGUAGUCAGGGAAGACCUCACUGAGGUGACAUUUAAGCAAAAACCUGAAUGUGGUGAAGCAGGUAUCUGGGGGACCUUGGACCACACAAAGGGAACAGCAAGUGCAAAGGCCCUGAGGUAGGAGCACGUAGUUGUGGUGAUGACGGAGAGUAGCAGGAAUUUGUGUCAUAGAAAUAGUGGGGGCUGGCCAGGCACAGCGGCUCAUGCCUGCAAUCCUAGCACUUUGGGAGGCCGAGGUGGGUGGAUUACUUGAGGUCAGGAGUCUGAGACCAGCCUGGCCAACAUGGUGAAACCCCAUCUCUACUAAAAAUUAAAAAAAAAAAAAUGGCCAGGCAUGGUGGCGUGCAUCUGUAAUCCCAGCUAUUCAGGAGGCUGAGACAUGAGAAUCACUUGAACCCGGGAGGCGGAGGUUGCAGUGAGCCGAAAUUGUGCCUCUGCACUCCAACCUGGGUGACAAAGCAAGACUCUGCCUCCAAAAAAAAAAAAAUGGAACAUGGAAACAUGGAAUGGGAGAAAAUAUUUGCAAAUCAUAUAUCUGAUAAGGGGUUCAUAUCCAGAAUACAUAAAGAACUGUUACAACUCAACAGCAAUAAAAACAACUCAAUUAAAAAUGGGCAAAGGACUUGAAUAAACAUUUCUCCAGAGAAAACUGUGAAUGGCUAAUAAUCACAUGAUAAGAUACUCAACAUCACUAACCAUUAAGGAAAUACAAACCAAAACUGCAAUGAGGCGCAACACUUUGGUGGAUCACCUGAGGUCAAGAGUUGGAGACCAGCCUGGCCGACACGGUGAAACCCCGUCUCUACUAAAAAUACAAAAAUUAGCUGGGCGUGAUGGUACGUGCGUAUAGUCCCAGCUACUUGGGAGGCUGAGGCAGGAGAAUCACUUGAACCUGGGAGGUGGAGGUUGCAGCAAGCCAAGAUCACGCCACUGCACCCCAGCCUGGGCAACUGAGUGAGACUCCAUCUAAAAAACAAACAAAACGCAAUGAGAAGAGAGGAUUUUGAAUGUUCCCGACACAAAGAAAUGAUAAACGCUUGAGGUAAUGGAUAUCCUAAUUACCCAGAUUUGAUUAUUACACGUUGUAUACAUGUAUUGAAAUAUCAUUUUGUAACCCAUGAACAUGUACAAUUAUGUGUCAACUAAAAAUAAAAGGAAUAAAACACAAUGAGAUACCACCUUACGCCCAUUAGGCUGGCUGCUGCGUUGGGAAGGAUGUGUAGAAACUGGAAUGCUUGUGUAGCUACUGUGGGAAAUGGUAUGGCUGUUCCUCAAAAAAUUAAAAAUAGAAUUACCAAAUGACCCAGCAAUUUUAUUUCUGGGUGUGUAUCCAAACGAAUUGAAAGCAAGAUCUUGAAGAGAUAUUUGUACACUCACGUUCAUAGCAGCCUUCUUCACAAUAGCCAAAAGGUGGAAGCAAUUAGCUGGGUGUGGUGGCGGGUGCCUGUAAUCCCUGCUACUU
rnacentral:lncRNA from 10 species